GUGUGGGGUUUGUUUGUUUUUCUGUUUCUGUUAGGGUUUCUCUUUUUGCAGGUCCUUCUUUCCAGGAAGCCUUAUCCUUAUUAUACUGCAGCAGACCUUUGCUUCUUCACAUGAAACCAAAGAGCCUGAGUUCCUCAUCAGUGAAGAGGAGCUGCGGAUAGUGAACUGGUUAUUAUGUCCUUAAAACUGUGGUCGGCAGGAGAAAAUUUGACAACAGGAGUCUAAUGGUCUACCAGAGAUCUGGAAACCAGAGGAUGAUUAUGUGUAACCAGCAGACAGUGAAGCUCCUGCAGAUUGACAGCAACGCACUGAGAAGAGGGAGUGAUAUAGAGUGGCUUGAUGAGACCUGCUGUCCAGCCAAGAUCAACCCACCACAGCACCACAGAUUCAUUGAAAGGAAAACGGACAACCCUCCAAACUGAGGUCAACUCAUGGUCAAAGGUCUGCAGAGGACCUUCUGGUAGAUUUGGAAGCUUGUUGCUGUGAUACCUGACUGCCUGCCUACCUACCCAUCACCUGCUGUACAAGAGUUGUUGGGAGUCCUGGUAGAAGUUUGGCAGCCUGUCAGAGACACCUGCACCCACGUGGAAGAAUGGGUACAUUCAACAGUUUGUGUUUCAGAACCGCCAAGAAUCAUGAAAAUUAGAUGUAAUCAAAUGCCCCUCAAGAUUUUUUCCCCUGCAGGAACAGAGGAAACAACUGCAGAAGUGGCAGCUCUAUAAGCAAAUAAACACUCCAGAGAGUUGCUCAUGAUGGAAGUUGGACUUCAAAGAUACAAAUUGAAGCCUUCAGAGCCAGUUUAAUAUGCAUAAUGUGGUCUGAUGAAAAAUAGUAUAGCUAUGCUGUGGUGACCAGCACUGCUUAGCAUUCAUUUGGAUUUCAAGCUGCAAUGGAGGAAUGGUGCAACAUUUGGAUACACAACAUUC